GCCGUGGUGGCGGAACUGGUAGACGCGCACGCUUCAGGAGCGUGUGACCGCAAGGUCAUGAGGGUUCGAUUCCCUCCCACGGCA
rnacentral:tRNA from 1 species